CUCUGCCCUAUUUAAGGCUCCUCUUGGUGGCCUGCCUCAGUUUGCAAGAGGAUAGGAGACAGAGCGUGGUCUGCUGUGGGCCCAGUUGUAAGGAAUUACAGACAACAGAGAAGCAGUGUGGUCUAGUGGAGAGAACCUGGACCUGGGUUCUAAUCCCAGAUCUGCCAUGUGUUUACCACCUCACCUUGGUGCUCUGGGCUCUCCGUCGCACACAGUGAGCCCCCUUAAGGGUGGACCACCACAACCUGGGAACCAUCGGAUACGCCGAACCCCCAGAGGGCAGGGUCACUGAGGGCAGGGUGGCAGGCCAUGAUCUGUGGCUGUCGGCCUCCUCCCCACCCGCCGCUACAGAGGGCAAGGCUACCACAACCGUGGAGCGGUCUGAAGCAUGAGCCCAUCCAGGGCAGAGCCACCAUGACUUUGUGUCUGGGUGACACGGGGAGCCGCCCGAGGACAGGGCCACUGCAACAUUGGACCCGCCAGAUACUGAGUCCCCUCUCCAUCCUGCCCCGAGGGCAGGGCCACAAAAAAGCUCUGCCCGUGUGACACUGAGCACAUCCAGACCAGAGCCGCCGUAACGUUGUCGAUAGUAUUUACUGAGCACUUUAUAUGUGCAGGACACUGAACUAAGCAUGUGGGAGGGUACAGUACAAUGAAUCUAUGGUAGUUAUUGCACAUAUGCUGUGAGCAGAGUACUUGUAAAUUCCUGAAGUGCAGUGAUGGUGUGUGUUGUUUGUGCUGAAUCCUCCCAAGAGUUCAGCACAUAACUGCACUUAUUAAAUGCUCUUAAUGUCAAA